rnacentral:rRNA from 1 species
ACACAUGCAAGUCGAGGGGAAACGACAUCGAAAGCUUGCUUUUGAUGGGCGUCGACCGGCGCACGGGUGAGUAACGCGUAUCCAACCUGCCCACCACUUGGGGAUAACCUUGCGAAAGUAAGACUAAUACCCAAUGAUAUCUCUAGAAGACAUCUGAAAGAGAUUAAAGAUUUAUCGGUGAUGGAUGGGGAUGCGUCUGAUUAGCUUGUUGGCGGGGUAACGGCCCACCAAGGCAACGAUCAGUAGGGGUUCUGAGAGGAAGGUCCCCCACAUUGGAACUGAGACACGGUCCAAACUCCUACGGGAGGCAGCAGUGAGGAAUAUUGGUCAAUGGACGAGAGUCUGAACCAGCCAAGUAGCGUGCAGGAUGACGGCCCUAUGGGUUGUAAACUGCUUUUAUAAGGGAAUAAAGUGAGUCUCGUGAGACUUUUUGCAUGUACCUUAUGAAUAAGGACCGGCUAAUUCCGUGCCAGCAGCCGCGGUAAUACGGAAGGUCCGGGCGUUAUCCGGAUUUAUUGGGUUUAAAGGGAGCGUAGGCCGGAGAUUAAGCGUGUUGUGAAAUGUAGACGCUCAACGUCUGCACUGCAGCGCGAACUGGUUUCCUUGAGUACGCACAAAGUGGGCGGAAUUCGUGGUGUAGCGGUGAAAUGCUUAGAUAUCACGAAGAACUCCGAUUGCGAAGGCAGCUCACUGGAGCGCAACUGACGCUGAAGCUCGAAAGUGCGGGUAUCGAACGGGAUUAGAUACCCUGGUAGUCCGCACGGUAAACGAUGGAUGCCCGCUGUUGGUCUGAAUAGGUCAGCGGCCAAGCGAAAGCAUUAAGCAUCCCACCUGGGGAGUACGCCGGCAACGGUGAAACUCAAAGGAAUUGACGGAAGG